rnacentral:sRNA from 1 species
GCUGGGUGUGGUGGCACACGCCUGUAAUCCCAGCUACUCGGGAGGCUGAGGCAGGAGAAUUGCUUGAGCCGGGGAGGCAGAGGUUGCAGUGAACAGAGAUUGUGCCACUGCACUCCUGCCUGGCCAACAGAGCAAGACUUUGUCUCAA